rnacentral:rRNA from 1 species
CGGUCUGCUUAACACAUGCAAGUCGAACGAACUCUUCGGAGUGAGUGGCUGACGGGUGAGUAACGCGUGAGAAUCUGCCUGUGGGUCGGGGACAACCACUGGAAACGGUGGCUAAUACCGGAUGAGCCGAAAGGUAAAAAAUUUAUUGCCCACAGAUGAGCUCGCGUCUGAUUAGCUAGUUGGUAAGGUAAAAGCGUACCAAGGCCACGAUCAGUAGCUGGUCUGAGAGGAUGAGCAGCCACACUGGGACUGAGACACGGCCCAGACUCCUACGGGAGGCAGCAGUGGGGAAUUUUCCGCAAUGGGCGAAAGCCUGACGGAGCAAGACCGCGUGGGGGAGGAAGGUUUUUGGAUCGUAAACCCCUUUUGUCAAGGAAGAAGUUCUGACGGUACUUGACGAAUAAGCCUCGGCUAACUCCGUGCCAGCAGCCGCGGGUAAUACGGAGGAGGCAAGCGUUAUCCCGGAAUGAUUGGGCGUAAAGCGUCUGUAGGUGCCCAGCUAAAUUCUGCUGUUAAAGAUCACAGCUUCA